rnacentral:rRNA from 1 species
AUUGAACGCUGGCGGCAUGCUUUACACAUGCAAGUCGGACGGCAGCGCGGGCUUCGCCCUGGCGGCGAGUGGCGAACGGGUGAGUAAUACAUCGGAACGUGCCCAGUAGUGGGGGAUAGCUCGGCGAAAGCCGGAUUAAUACCGCAUACGACCUGAGGGUGAAAGCGGGGGACUUUAGGGCCUCGCGCUAUUGGAGCGGCCGAUGGCAGAUUAGCUAGUUGGUGGGGUAAAGGCCUACCAAGGCGACGAUCUGUAGCUGGUCUGAGAGGAUGACCAGCCACACUGGAACUGAGACACGGCCCAGACUCCUACGGGAGGCAGCAGUGGGGAAUAUUGGACAAUGGGCGCAAGCCUGAUCCAGCAAUGCCGCGUGUGUGAUGAAGGCCUUCGGGUUGUAAAGCACUUUUGGCAGGAACGAAAAGUGGCGUGCUAAUACCACGGUACGAUGACGGUACCUGCAGAAUAAGCACCGGCUAACUACGUG